AUUGAACGCUGGCGGCAUGCUUUACACAUGCAAGUCGAACGGCAGCGCGGGCUUCGGCCUGGCGGCGAGUGGCGAACGGGUGAGUAAUGCAUCGGAACGUGCCCAGUAGUGGGGGAUAGCCCGGCGAAAGCCGGAUUAAUACCGCAUACGACCUGAGGGUGAAAGCGGGGGACCGAAAGGCCUCGCGCUAUUGGAGCGGCCGAUGUCGGAUUAGCUGGUUGGUGGGGUAAAGGCUUACCAAGGCGACGAUCCGUAGCUGGUCUGAGAGGACGACCAGCCACACUGGGACUGAGACACGGCCCAGACUCCUACGGGAGGCAGCAGUGGGGGAUUUUGGACAAUGGGGGCAACCCUGAUCCAGCCAUGCCGCGUGCGGGAAGAAGGCCUUCGGGUUGUAAACCGCUUUUGUUCGGGAAGAAAUCCUCUGGGCUAAUACCCCGGGGGGAUGACGGUACCGGAAGAAUAAGCACCGGCUAACUACGUG
rnacentral:rRNA from 1 species